CGCGGGCACUUGUGCCCGAGUGGCGAACGGGUGAGUAAUACAUAAGUAACCUGGCCUUUACAGGGGGAUAACUGCUGGAAACGGCAGCUAAGACCGCAUAGGUAGGGACACUGCAUGGUGACCGUAUUAAAAGUGCUGCAAGGCACUGGUAGAGGAUGGACUUAUGGCGCAUUAGCUGGUUGGUGAGGUAACGGCUCACCAAGGCGACGAUGCGUAGCCGACCUGAGAGGGUGACCGGCCACACUGGGACUGAGACACGGCCCAGACUCCUACGGGAGGCAGCAGUAGGGAAUUUUCGGCAAUGGGGGGGACCCUGACCGAGCAACGCCGCGUGAAGGAAGAAGGAAUUCGUUCUGUAAACUUCUGUUAUAAAGGAAGAAAGACGGAUGGAGGAAAUGACAUCCGAGUGACGGUACUUUAUGAGAAAGCCACGGCUAACUACGUGCCAGCAGCCGCGGUAAUACGUAGGUGGCAAGCGUUAUCCGGAAUUAUUGGGCGUAAAGAGGGAGCAGGCGGCAGCAAAGGUCUGUGGUGAAAGACUGAAGCUUAACUUCAGUAAGCCAUAGAAACCGGGCAGCUAGAGUGCAGGAGAGGAUCGUGGAAUUCCAUGUGUAGCGGUGAAAUGCGUAGAUAUAUGGAGGAACACCAGUGGCGAAGGCGACGAUCUGGCCUGCAACUGACGCUCAGUCCCGAAAGCGUGGGGAGCAAAUAGGAUUAGAUACCCUAGUAGUCCACGCCGUANACGAUGAGUACUAAGUGUUGGAAGUCANAUUUCAGUGCUGCAGUUAACGC
rnacentral:rRNA from 1 species